UGGCUUGGGCGAAAGCUCUGGGGCCAUCGCAGGCGGGGAGCAUAUCC
rnacentral:sRNA from 12 species